rnacentral:piRNA from 1 species
UAUGUUCGCUCUGAUUUGCCAGCUGU